rnacentral:rRNA from 1 species
GUGGGGAAUAUUCCGCAAUGGACGAAAGUCUGACGGAGCAACGCCGCGUGAGUGAUGAAGGUUUUCGGACUGUAAAGCUCUGUUGUUUAGGACGAAAGUGCCUGUUGCGAACAGUUACAGGUAUUGACGGUACUGAACGAGGAAGCCACGGCUAACUACGUGCCAGCAGCCGCGGUAAUACGUAGGUGGCAAGCGUUGUCCGGAAUUAUUGGGCGUAAAGAGCAUAUAGGCGGGAAUCUAAGUCUGUUGUGAAAAUGCGGGGCUCAACCCCGUAUUGCGAUGGAAACUGGGUUUCUUGAGUGCAGGAGAGGAAAGGGGAAUUCCCAGUGUAGCGGUGAAAUGCGUAGAUAUUGGGAGGAACACCAGUGGCGAAGGCGCCUUUCUGGACUGUGUCUGACGCUGAGAUGCGAAAGCCAGGGUAGCGAACGGGAUUAGAAACCCGAGUAGUCC